AGUUAGCCUUCCAAGCAUCUGUAGCUUGCCCAUGGUCCCUGGUGACUGCAGGGGUUCUUUUCCUCGAUACUACUACAACACACAUACCCACAAAUGCGAACGGUUCACUUAUGGGGGCUGUAAAGGAAACAAGAACAACUUCAUAUUCAUAGAACAAUGUCAAUUGACCUGUCGGGAAUCCAAAUAAACAACAAACUGUAUCUGCCCCGACCCAGGCUCCCUGUGUUCCUGGUCCUGUGUCUAAGUUCCUGUCUUGUUCUUUUCCCAUAAAACUUACCUAGCCUUGAGUUCCUACAGUGAUGAGAAGAAGGACAGAAGACAGUAAUCAAGACCACUGUCUCUCCCAUUCAGAGUUUUUGAUCUAUACUUACUGUGCUAUGGGGUUACUGACCUUACUCCUUAAACUUCUGGCAUGUGACAGGUUUAGCAUCUCUUGAUGGGUACAUCCCCCUUCAUUCACCAACUCUUUCUUUUGCCUUUGCAAUCAUAAUAAAUUAUU